CACACUUACUCUUAUCUCAGAAUUUAUUAUACUCGACUCAUCUUCCAAAUGUUGCUACCUGAGUUUUAAGAGUUUAACAUUAUUAGGCACACAUCUCUUUUGAAAGCCUUCGACGCUUCCUGGCCUCUCUGUUGCAUUAUUCAACACUAUUCUGCCAGAGUCUUAGCUCAUUUCCUCCCUCGUUUGUCCUGUCAUGGUGGCGCACAUCAAUAGUGCCUCCUGCUUUCCGUCCUCAAACCUUUCUUUACCCUAGUCGUCACUCUUUCUUUACAGGAGAGUGUGCGCACAGACCCCCACCAUCACAGAUGAAGCAGCUGAGUCCUCCAAUGUUAGGAUCAAUGCAGUACUCAAGCUUCAGAGCCCGCCAUAGUCACGCUAUCUUCCCUGCCAGAAGAGAUUUCUGACAGGAGACCAUAAACAACGAAGAAAAGAAUUGAGAAGCUGCUCUACACCAAUUGAGCUCCAAAACAGAGAAUGCCCUGGGGCAACCAGACUCUUGCAAAGGAAGCUUUUACAAUUAAAAAAAAAAAAUGUAUCAGAGGCUGCCAGGCAAUUCUAUUUUGUCAGUACCCUUUGCUUUCUUUGCAGUGUACUAAAUAAACUUGUUCUUUUUCCUACAAAAUAAAGAAGGUGGAUCCCUUGGAGCUGGAGUCCUGGUUGACCAUGAACCACCAAGCAAGUACUAAGAUUGGAACCUAUAAAAAAAAAAAAAGCAGCCAAGUGCUCCAAACCACCGAGCUACCUCUCUUGCCUCCAAAUAAAGAAAUUUUUACAAAUAAAAA